CCUACGUGAGGCUGCAGUGAGGAAUAUUGGUCAAUGGGCGCGAGCCUGAACCAGCCAAGUAGCGUGAAGGAUGACUGCCCUACGGGUUGUAAACUUCUUUUAUAAAGGAAUAAAGUGAGGCACGUGUGCCUUUUUGUAUGUACUUUAUGAAUAAGGAUCGGCUAACUCCGUGCCAGCAGCCGCGGUAAUACGGAGGAUCCGAGCGUUAUCCGGAUUUAUUGGGUGUAAAGGGAGCGUAGAUGGGUUGUUAAGUCAGUUGUGAAAGUUUGCGGCUCAACCGUAAAAUUGCAAUUGAGACUGGCAGUCUUGAGUACAGUUGAGGUAGGCGGAAUCCGUGGUGUAGCGGUGAAAUGCUUAGAUAUCACGAAGAACUCCGAUUGCGAAGGCAGCUUACUAAACUGCCACUGACAUUGAUGCUCGAAAGUGUGGGUAUCAAACAGGAUUAGAUACCCCAGUAGUC
rnacentral:rRNA from 1 species